GAUGAACGCUGGCGGCGUGCCUAACACAUGCAAGUCGAGCGAACAGACCAGGAGCUUGCUCCUCUGACGUUAGCGGCGGACGGGUGAGUCACUCGUGGAUAACCUACCUAUAAGACUGGGAUAACUUCGGGAAACCGUAUCUAAUACCGGAUAAUAUAUUGCACCGCGUUGUUCAAUAGUGAAAGUCGGUUUUUCUGUCACUUAUAGCUUGAUCCGCGCCGCAUUAGCUAGUUGGUAAGGUAACGGCUUACCAAGGCUACGAUGCGUAGCCGACCUGAGAGGGUGAUCGGCCACCCUGGAACUGAGACACGGUCCAGACUCCUAGGGGAGGAAGCAGUAGGGAAUCUUACGCAAUGGGGGAGAGCCUGACGGAGCAACGCCGCGUGAGUGAUGAAGGUGUUCGGAUCGUAAAGCUCUGUUAUUAGGGGAGAACAAAUGUGUAAGUAACUAUGCACGUAUUGACGGUACCUAAUCAGAAAGCCACGGCUAACUACGUG
rnacentral:rRNA from 1 species